rnacentral:rRNA from 1 species
UACGAAGGGGGCGAGCGUUGUUCGGAUUUACUGGGCGUAAAGGGCGCGCAGGCGGCUUUGUUUGUCAGGCGUGAAAGCCCCGGGCUUAACCUGGGAACUGCGUUUGAUACGGCAGGGCUAGAGUUCGGGAGAGGAGAGUGGAAUUCCCAGUGUAGAGGUGAAAUUCGUAGAUAUUGGGAAGAACACCGGGUGGCGAAGGCGGCUCUCUGGACCGAUACGUGACGCUGAGGCGCGAAAGCG